GUGGAGUUAUCAAGUUUGUUUAGCUGAUUGGAGAACUAGCUUGCGCAGCUAGCGGGUCCAUGACCAUGACUUCUGUUUUGUUGGAUCAUCCGUUUUACUGCCGUGCCACAGACAUAGUUUGGAAACAAUUAUGGGAACGUCCGACCGUUAGGAGACCAGGGCGAAGACCCAGGACACGUUGGAGAGAUUAUGUCUCCCAGCUGGCCUGGGAACGCCUCGGGAUCCCCCGAGAAGAGCUGGACAAAGUAUCUGGUGAGAGGGAAGUCUGGGCUUUUCUGCUUAGGCUGCUGCCCCCGCGACCUGACUUCAGGUUGCUGUGGAGGAACACUUUGGAUCCUGCACCAUCCGCUCAGACUGGAUCUGAGCCUGCUCACAGUACUGCUGGAGUGCACCCAUCAAUCAGCCAUUGAUGCUCUCAAAGUUACUCAAGCUGCACUUUAAGCUGUGCCCCAGUGUUUACAUGCUGAAGAUCGCAUGUCUUGCCAGAACACCGACUCCUGCGGACGUGUCGUCUAUCCGCAGUGCCAAGCCUCUUCCAGGAUGCAAAUCCUCACCACCACGGCGGAAAAUAAAAGUGUCCCUGCGGACGUGCCAGCUUGAAAGAGGCCAGUAUGAAUAUGUCUUCCAAUCGGUCACCACCCUUUGGCGGGCCAAACCAAAUGACACGACGGGCCAAAUGUAUUUGGGCGUUCCUGCU